CACCUGGUAGCACAUGGUGUGCACCUGCCUUCCAUAAAUGAGUAGUCAGUUGAAACAUGUAGGCAGGAGCUCCUCGUUCGACUCGGGGUCGGGUGA